UGGUUGCUAUUGAAUUGGGCUGUUGGUAUC
rnacentral:piRNA from 1 species